UACGUAGGGUGCAAGCGUUAAUCGGAAUUACUGGGCGUAAAGCGUGCGCAGGCGGUUCUAUAAGACAGAUGUGAAAUCCCCGGGCUCAACCUGGGAACUGCAUUUGUGACUGUAGAGCUGGAGUGCGGCAGAGGGGGAUGGAAUUCCGCGUGUAGCAGUGAAAUGCGUAGAUAUGCGGAGGAACACCGAUGGCGAAGGCAAUCCCCUGGGCCUGCACUGACGCUCAGGUGCGAAAGCUAGGGGAGCGAACAGG
rnacentral:rRNA from 1 species